rnacentral:rRNA from 1 species
UACGUAGGGGGCAAGCGUUGUCCGGAAUCAUUGGGCGUAAAGCGUGCGUAGGUGGUUCGUUAAGUCUGAUGUGAAAGCCCUGGGCUCAACCUGGGAAUGGCAUUGGAAACUGGCGACCUAGAGUGCGGUAGAGGGUAGUGGAAUUCCCGGUGUAGCAGUGAAAUGCGUAGAGAUCGGGAGGAACAUCCGUGGCGAAGGCGACUACCUGGACCAGCACUGACACUGAGGCACGAAAGCGUGGGGAGCAAACAGG